rnacentral:rRNA from 1 species
CCUACGGGAGGCAGCAGUGAGGAAUAUUGGUCAAUGGGCGGAAGCCUGAACCAGCCAAGUAGCGUGCAGGAUGACGGCCCUACGGGUUGUAAACUGCUUUUAUACGGGAAUCACGCGCCUUACGUGUAGGGCUUUGCAUGUACCGUAUGAAUAAGGACCGGCUAUUUCCGUGCCAGCAUCCGCGGUAAUACGGAAGGUCCGGGCAUUAUCCGGAUGUAGUGGGUUUAAGGGGAGCGUAGGCCGCAUGUCAAGCGUGCUGUGAAAUGUCCGGGCUCAACCCGGGCCUUGCAGCGCGAACUGGCGUGCUUGAGUCCGCGGAAAGCAGGCGGAAUUCGUCGUGUAGCGGUGAAAUGCUUAGAUAUGACGAAGAACCCCGAUUGCGAAGGCAGCUUGCUGCAGCGGAACUGACGCUGAUGCUCGAAAGCGCGGGUAUCGAACAGGAUUAGAUACCCUUGUAGUC